CUCUCCCUUGGGGGAAAACCCCAAGGCAGAGAUGGGGAAAGAUUCCCCUCUUGAGAUCAAUGCACUCGAAAGAGGAAGAAGGUCCUUCCCUCCUUAAACCCUUUAGAGUCUGAGGUAGAGAGGAGGGAACCUUCCCAAAAUUAGAACCAAGGUGGACCAAGGAUAGACAGAGUGAGAGAGUCCUCCAUCUCAGCCUAGUUGCUUCCAUUGAAGACUGGAAUCAAAGUUGGAUUGUGCAGCCUGCUGUCAAACAGGAGAGUACUCUACAGCAACUCACAUGUGAAUGGACAAUUUUCUUUCACCUAUACUUAAUAUCAAAAAAGAGGCUACCUUGCUUCCACUUGAUCCUCUUCACCUAUCCAGAUUGGUCAUAUCUAGAUAAUAGGUUCGUUAGCCUAUUAGAAUGGAUUCAACUGCAUGGGUGUAGAAAAAAAAAAAUACAAAUGCAAGGUUCAGAAUACAAGCAUCAAACUACUCCAUGACUGCUUCUUUUCCUAACAAAAGAUAUAGAAAACUCUGAAGAUGCGUGUGUGCACAAAUUGUUGCUGCAAAUCAGGACCAUUAAUACUCCUAUUAAACAUGCUAUGAGUAAGAUGUCGAAGUUGGCUAGUCCAUCAAGUUUUUUCAUAAUCCAGUCUUAAACAAGUACAAUUUGGUCUUAUAUAUUUGCCAAAGGAUGAUACUUAUGCUUGAUCAAUUCCCAGCCUCCAAAGUUCGAUACAAAACAUGCAGUUACAACAAUGAAGCCACAACAACAGGAAUCUACUAAGCAUGAAUCUGAAUAGAUCAAUCACUCAUACAGUUUGAGAUAAUGCCUAUCCCAAAAUUUUGGAGAUAUGGUUGGAAUUAGUCAUGAAUAUCAAUAUCCAUGACAUGACAAAUGGCAAAUAGAACAAGAUUAAUACAUACAAAUCUCUCCUGGAAACAUAUUAAGAUUCGGGCUGAAAGAAUAGCACACAAGGGAAACAAGUAACAGAUGCUAUGAAACGAGAAAAGUAAAAGAACGUGAUGUGAUUCAGAUAUUGAUUUGAUUUAUUAUAUUUUUUUAUGGGUUAUAUAUUCAAUAGACACAUGAUAUGGACAUAACACUAAUUUGAUUAUCAUCAUCUUGAUGCAGUCAUCAAUGAUAUCUUCAUGCAAUGCCACAAAAGCUUUUUAUUUCACCAGACUCUAAACUUUUUUUUUUUUUUUGAUAGGUAAGAAAAAACGUGUAUUAAAAAGAAAAACACCAAAAGAGCACCUCAAAGUACACAGGAAGUAUACAAAGAGCACCAACAACACCAACAAAAAGAUAAGAGGGACUAACAAAAAACAACACCCCUCAACUAGCCCCUAACCAAUCCACACAAAAUUUUUAACUGAAGGAUCACAAAAUGUAGUCCACCAAAACAUGCAUAUGGUAAGCCUCUUCCACCUAUCCUAAAGCACGAAUGACUAUAAUCAUUUUUGAGCCAACAGUAUAUGUCUCUCCUCUACUUUUAUCCACAGUUUUCAGUCUGUGAAUCUAUAGCUGAAUUUUUCUUUUUUUCUUUUUAAUUUUUUUAAUAGGCAAAAAAGAAGACAUUAAAAGCGCCUGAAAAAGGACAUAUUAAGUACAGACAAUGUAUAAAAUAAACGCCAAUACUCAAUAGUCAAGCAAAAAGGGAGAGAGAAAAUAAAAAACAACUGCCUCUCCCUAUUUGGGACUCUACCAAACUAUAGAGCUUUUCAUGGUCAAGGAAUAAUAACCUAUGUAUACUCUAGCCCAAUCCAAAAAGCUACACCAAAAGAAAGAUUUGAUUGCUUGAUCCGGUUAUUCUGUAUUUUUUAAUGGUCUCCUAUUCCUUUCCUUCCAUAACAUCCAAAGUAGGCACAAAGGAGUGGUCCUCCAUGUUUGCUUCCACUUCUUCCCAACAAAAGAACAUAUCAACACAAGCUUUCCUCUUACUGAAAAGUGCUUCACCUGGGCCACAGAAUUCUCACUUUGGAGCAGUGAAGGAGCAUGAAAUAAGCCGACUCUUCUUCCCCUAUAUACAUGUAACAUUUAUCCAGAAAAAUCCAGUUCCUCCUUCCGAGUUGAUCAACAUUAAAAUUCUUCCCCAAAUAGCUUCCCAAGGAAAAAACUCACUUUCGUUGAAACACAUGGGUUCCAAACUACGCUUGCAGGGAAGAACUCAUUUUUCCUUUGAAUUAAGGAAUUGUGGAAAGAUUUGACACAAAAUUUGCUGCAAUUAGUUUCUUUCCAAUCCAAUCUAUCCUCCUCAUCCCUACUAAUUGAGCUCGUUUGCAGUCUCCAAAAAAGAAAAAAAACUUCCACUUCUACCAAUUCCCAAUCAUGAAACUGUCUGUGAAAACAGGUGUGUUCCACUGCAUCCUUCCCUGACCUGCUCCUACAUUUUUGCAACCCAAAAGUCUUUAUCAACGGCUAUAGAGAAUAGCACCAGAAAUGACCCUCCCAAAGAACUUUGUCCAUGCCAACUAUCUUUACAAAACGUUACUCUCCAUCCAUUACCCACUAUGAAGUGAGAUCUACAUCUAAAAAUCUCUCACCCAAUUCUAAUAGUCUUCCACAACCCCACCCUAUAGCUAUCCCUCACAACCCUCAAACACCAACCCCCUUCACCUGCCCCAAAAUUUCCUACUAUGCCUUGUAUCCAAUUUACCAUAUGUAGCUUUUCUCAAGCCCCCCUUCCCCAAAGGAAAUCCUUUAAAUCUGCUCCAUACUUAAGUUCACCUUUCUUGAAAUGAUGAAAAUAGGGACAUAAAAUAAAUUGGAACACUUGACAAUGUACUCUUGAUCAAAAUGAGUUUCCCUCCUUUUGAAAGGCAUUGUGUCUUUCACAAAGCAAGCCCCAUGUGAGCAAACAGAACAAAACGUAUGAACAAAGUGCCUAAUAAGAAAAAGGGAGAAGCAAAUGUACAUGGGAAGCUCAAAAAAUCAGCUAAUACUACUAAAUUAACCAAUUGUAUUAUCCACAAAAUUCAAUAAGGGCAAAAAAGAAGAGCCUACCUCCCUAGCACUCACCUCUACCUCCACCCCAAACACAAAAAUAAAAUUUUGAGAAGCACAUCUUUUAACUCCAAGCAAGACUACUCUAGACCUUCCAACAUGAUUCCAUCAUGCUCUUUCCAAGUAAUCCCAAAAAAAUGCACAACAAAAUCAACCCCUCCAAUGAAGGUACCAUGCCAUAUGCAAAGGACAUUUUCUAACUGAAUGGUGAAGCACCCAAGAUAUGCUAAACAAAGAACACCAUACACCUUAGUCCAAAGUCCAUUUGCAAUGAAUAAGUGUGCGGGAUGAUGAUGUGAGAUCUUCAUAGCAAAGACAAUACCUAUUGACCAAAUUCCAACCCCUUUUCAUAAGGUUUUCUAAAGUCAAAAUUCACUUCCAUGCUGCUUCCCAUGAAAAAAAGAUUAAAAAAAGGUCAUCAUACCUUAGCACUACAAUAAUUUAAUUAUGUUCUUGUCUGCUCAACACAGCUCAACUAGGAUGUUUUGACAUUAGCUUGAUGCACAACUUAAAUGUUCUUUUUUUAGUAAAUAAAAAAUACAAUCUCUUUCCAUAAGAAUAGUCAUCAUGAUAAGUUGAAUAAUAAAAUGAAAAAUGCAUUCAUGAGAACAAAGAAGAGGCACCACUAGGUCCAUGAAGAUAGGAAGACAACAGAGAUAGUAUACUCAUCUGCAACCAAAACCAAUGACUGAAAAACUCGAAUAAUAAUGUAAGUUAAGGCCUUUGUUAGAAUCUUUCCAUCCCUCAUUUAUCAUCCAAAAACAAUUUAGUUAUAAAAAGAUAUAGAAACUCUCACAGCCCUAAUAAGGCAACUAUUUACUCUUUCUAAAUAUCCAAUCUUCAAAAUAGUCAUUUUGUCUUAAGUGAGAGCCAAUCCAUGACAACUCCAUCCAAGCCCUGUCCAUGGAAAUCCUAACACAUUCAUCACUACUUAGGCAAGAUCUAUGAAACACCACACUUCAACAUGCAUCAUUAUGUAAAGAAACUCAACUAACAUAAAGUUACAUACAAGAAGGUCUUAUAAAUCAGAAUUUUACAUCCCCUUUAUCUAACUUUAAAUCUGUAAUGAAACCCUGACGUUCCCAAUCUCCCAUAUGAAACAACCAUUAUUACUAAGCAGAAAUUGAAAAUAAAAUUGAAAAGUAAAUUCUGAUUAUCCAAAUGACGAAUGGGCUUCCACAGUAAACAUGUUCAAUCCUUGGAACCAUACAUGUGUAACCCAAAUGCAUACCAAAUCUAGUGCGGUCUACAAUGACUGUUCAUAUGUGCCAGAGUAGUGAGACAGAUAGAUAAGAGAGCCGUUACAUCAAAAGAUGCUGGAUAGACUGGACAAAGCUACAAAAACCUUGCCUUCAUCAAUAGAGCUUUGUACUGAACAAAAUAGAUGGCACUUGAAAUAUGCCGUGCAACAAUAAAUCUAUGGGAAUAAUAGAAAUAUGAGAGGAAGCAAAGAAAAAAAAGGUCAACAUGUUGCACUGCACAAGUAGCCAGAUUACCUAAUUGACAAGGAAUUCUUAGUCAAAUUCAUGAUCUAAAGGGAGAAUCACGAAAGCAGUGCAGAAACAAAAAUUACCCAGCAUAACAUGUAUAAAAAAGAGAAUUGUAAAGUAAAGAGGAUGGAGAAGAGAGAAUAUAAUGGGGAGUUGAAACAAAAAAUGAGACCUUGUAUACACUAAACGUCUUCAGUUUCUUGGGAUUACACUGUUUCAAAUGAAAAGGUAAAGCAACACAUUCUGCAGAUUCGAUAUAAGGAAAAAAAAAAACAUAAAAAGAAUCAAGCCUGUGUGCCAGCCAAGGUCUUCAUCUGAAUAUGGUUCGAAUCCGCAGAGGAUAGAGUUGGCAACGCCUCGUAGGAGCCCGUCCUCCUGAUGCCAACAGUCUUAGCAAGAACAGCAUAAGUGGCCAUCAAAAUGAACACCACAAACAUGACAUAAACCACAAAGACCAGAUCCAGAAUGGCCACGGCUCUCAACCUGGAUUCCUCUAAGUCACACUUGGUGGAUCCCUCCACCCCACUCACCACAUCCAGCAGCUUAUGGCAACCCUCCGGAAUAAAGGCCUCCACGUAGAGCGCGAGUCCGGUCUGCAAUGUCCAGAGGCCCUGCAAAAUCACGGAGGCCCCCAGGGCCAGGUCAGCCACAAACAGCCUGGGGAGACAAGCGAGGAUGAUGCAGAGGAGGGACGAAAGAGCAGAAACGCGAGCCGAGACGGAGUCGCAUUUGGCCUGGAGAUCGGAAGUCUGAACGGAGGCGGCCGAGGAGGAGACGGUGAACUGCAAGUAGAAUAGAGCGGAGGCGAGAGCGAAGAAGAGAUCGGAGGGGAGGGGGAGGAGAGAGGUGGUUUCGGAGAGGAGAAUCGCAAGGGCGAGGAUAAGAAAGAGGAAGAGGACGGCGGCGGAUUGGAGAGAGGAGAAGCGGUGGACGGGGGUACGGCCCUUGAGGAGAGGGUCAGCGUCGGAAGAGACUAGGGUUUGGUGGACAAAGGCAAUGAGAAGGAAGAGAAUGAUGACGUAAAGCUGAAGGUGGCGGAGACGGUGAGACGAAGAAGGAGAAGAAGAAAAAGGGUGGUAGAGCUUGGCGGAGUAAUCCCGAGCGGGGUGGUGGAGAUGGGUCUUGAUCGCGCAUACCAGGUGGUAUAGUCCAAGUGUAAUGAGUGACGCAGAUGAGAAUAUCUCAUAGAUUAGAGCUGAUCCCAUUUCAUCAGUUCCGAUCACCGAUUUCCGAUUUCCGAUCGUUGAUUCCUGAUACUCCCUCUCCCUCUGCUGCUGGCUUUUCACAUUUCACAUCCCUCUUUCCUCGUAUACGUUGACGAACUCAAUUCCUCCUCAAUCCUGUCCGGACCAUAAUACCCCUCCCCACCCUCUUUUGUUCCAUUUUCAACCAUCUCCUUCCUCUCUCACAAAUUUGGGACCAAACACCUCGAGCUGCUCAACGCCCCGCAGCAACCAGUCCCAUAUUUGUAAAUAUUGAUUCAUUUUAUAUCUUAAAUUAUAAAUAUCAAUAAUACUUUUACCAAUUUACUUGUAAUUAUCCUAUAUUAAGAAAUUAAAUAAUUAAUUUUUUUUAUAUAUUUAUAAAAUUAUGAAAGAUAUUUAUUAUUUUUUAUAAUUAAAAAUUAAAUUAAAUUCUAAAAUAGGUAUAAAUUUUUAAAAUUUUUAAUAAAGAAAUAUAGAAAGGAAAAAAAGUAAUAAAGUUUUGCUCUUACUUAAUUUAAUUGUUUAUAAAAACAUUUUAACAUCAGUGCAAUUUUCCCCCUUACAUUUUAUUUUAUAAUAUUUAAAUAUUAAAAAAAAUAUCUUUUAAUAAUUUUCUUUUCUUUCCUCAACAUAUUAAAACAUUCACCAUCUUUUCUUAGGUUAACUUCGACAACGAUUCUAGAUAAUAUUUUUAACAUUUUUAACAUUUAAAAAAAUUUAAUUUUUCAAAUAUUAGAAAAAUUAUAAAAACUUCAUAAAAUCUCUAUCAAAUGCAUUUUUAAUAACAACCUAUAAAAUUUGAUAUUAAAAGUUUUAAAAUCUUAGGUUAUGUUUGGUUCUUAAAAAAUAUUAAGAAAAAAAAAAUUGUUAAGAAAAAUGGUUUUCUCAUGUUUAGUUUCAUAAUAAAAAAUAUAACAUCAAAUCAAAUAUAAUAAAAAUUAAUUUAAAAUUUAUAUAUUUUAAAAUUAUUUAAUUUGUUAUAACAUAAAGAAAUAAGUUAAAUGAGUUUAAAGAAUCAUAUAAAAAUAAUUUAUUAAAUUUAAACUUUUUUUUCUUACUUUUUCUUUCCUGCAAAUUUUCCCAUUAUAUCUCCUAUUUGCUUAUGCCUAGGUUUGGGCCCAAGGCCCAACUACACCCAAAUGAUUAACGUGGCUUCGUUGGGCGUGUUAUCCCAUUUGAAUAAAAUAAUUUAUAAUUGAUUGAAUGAAUCAUUUUAAUUUUUUAUAAAUAAAAUAAAUGUGAAUAAGUCCACAAAAUUGUCACUUGGACACACACUUGUUCAAUAUCAACCUCAUGAUUCCUCUAAUUUAUACAUUACAUAUAACAUUAUUUUCGUAUGAUGUUACUAUCAUUUUGAGGAUAAUCCACAUGAUUCUAUGAUAUGUUAGACGGUAGAUUUUAACUAGAUGCAUUCACAAAUCACUUUAUGGAUUAUAAGUAUUUCUUAAUGAUUUAAAGAACUAACAAUCAUUGUUUGUUUUACAAAUCUUCAUGUUACAACAAUAUUGUCGCAAGUAAUUACAUAUCUUAUUUUACAUUGAGCUUUAUGAGGGUAUAAAAGAUAACAUACAUUUACGAUUUUGAAUUUUCUAAAUAAAAUAAAUUUAUAUUAGUUGUUCCACAAGAAUAGUACAGAACAUAUUUGAUAUUAUUCUAAUAUUUUCUAGUAACAAAAAAAUUAUACCUUACUAAUAAAUUGAUUGCAAAAACAAUUGAACCAAUUACGCUAAGGUAUAUGGUAUUUUAGGACCAAGUAAAUCUUGGUCAUCUUCACGGAGAAAAUGGGUCUUCACCUCAAGUGAAGGAAAGACUAUUAAUGAGUUUAAUGGAUGGAUAAAUAUUUUACUUGAAACAUGCUCAAGCUAUAAGCUAAAACAAAAUUUUGUUCAAAAUCUUUCAUUUUGAAUUCAUUUUUCAAAUAAGUUGUUCUUUUGAAUUUUUUGGGAGUUUUAAUAAAAUUUAAGUCAUCAACAUGUAAUACAAUAAUUGCAAAUUUGAUUUUUGACUUCUUGAUUAAAAUAAAUUGGCAAAUUGAAUUAUUUGCAUGUGUCAACAUUCAUCCAUAUUUCAUGGUAUGACAUCCUUAUCAAUACUAAUUAUGUCCAUGAUCACUUGAAAAGAAAAAACAUUAUGAAUAAUAGUGUUAUUUUGAUCCAAUUUUUUCUUGGUGAGCCAUUGAAAUCUCUUCUUUUCAAGCAUAAUGUUCCUUUAGAGGCAAACCUUUUAAUUUGUUUCUUGUAGGCCUACUUGAUUUUUUGUCUCUUUAUGGUGACCAUCUCAACUUGAAAGCAAGUGAUAAUUUCUAUGACCUUUUUCGAAUUCUAAACUUUUCAAGAGUUUCAACAUUUUCAUAUAUUCUUCUUAGUAUUUUCCUUUAUCAAGGAAUUGUAUCAUUUGAGUCAUCUAUUUGUUAAUUCUCAAGUAGGAACAACAACCCGUGUUGGAGGAUUUUUAGCUAAGAUAUAUAACUUUAUCCAUUUCUUUGUGUUAAUAAAUGCAUCAAAUAAUUUAUUUGCAAGACAUUGCAAGUGAAUGAUCCUCUAAGCUUCUAAUUCACUUUGAUUUGAUUAAGGAUCGAGAUAAGAUGAAAUUGAUGCAUUCAGAAAUCAACUUUUCUUCCCUCGAUGAUUGGCAAACAGUUUUAUUAAAAUUACAAUUCACAAAACGUGUUGUAAAAAAGGAUCACUUGUUAGGAGUUUAAGAUGAUAGAUGAAGAAUCAAGACCCUACAUAAUAAAUCUCAAAUCUUGAAAGGAACCCAUUUUAGUGUUUUGUGUAGGUGCAAUUGAUGCAUAUAUUACACAAUUGAAGAUUUGUACAUAGGAGAUAUUUGAUUGUUUUCCGAUUACAAGUUGUAAAGAGUAGUAUUUAUAGUCAAGUGCAAGUCAAAUUUGGAUUAAGACCCUACAUAAUAGCAUAUCCUAGGCAUAAAGUAGAAAAUUUGGAUUUCAUAAGGCGUUGAACAAUCAAUUAGAGAUAUGUAAUGAGGAAUUAAUCCAAAUUCACAUAUAAUGGUUAACAAAUAUUUUGGAUGUAAAUUCACCAACAUUAUGUACACAUUGUGCUAAUUAGAUAAUCCGUAAAUUGAGACAUAAUCAAAUUUCUAUGCAAGGAGUCUAUAAAAUACAACAUUGCUAGUAGAAAGUAAGCAAAGUGCAACAUUAUGAGUAGAAAGUAGACAAAGGAGUGACCACCUAGUUGAGGUAUCUAUUAAAACCUUGAAAUAUCAAUGACCCUAAAGAUGGGUGGAUAAGCUCGCAUACGUCCCCUUAAAAUUGUUUUAAAAAGGCUAUUGACUUGUAGACAUUGUAAUAACAAAUGAUUUAAUGAUCAAUUUACCUCAAAACUAAUAACACAAUACAAAUCAUUGGCUAAAAGAACCUUCUAAUUCUUUAAAGGAUGCCUAUGAGAAUUGAUUAUGAUAGGAUGUAUCAUAAAGAGGAGCCUAGGAAGUCUAUAAAACAAAGCAUCAACCAAUGUCACAAUUUGUAAAUAAUUUACAUAUGAUUUUACUAAACCAAUUUAUGGAACGUGUUAAACGAUUAUGUCAUAUUACCCAUAUGAUUAUCAUGAUCAUCUUAAGUCAUCAUAAACUAAUUAUUAAACAUGUUCGAGUUUAGUAAAUUUUCAACAUUUGAUGCAUUGAAACCCAACAAUGAGAUUUUGGUGUCAUGACUCCCAACAUACAUAGAGCAACAUCACUAAGAUUCUCCUUCAAUGGAGAUGAAACCAAAUACAGUCAUUUUUAUUUAUUCAUCAUACCAAAUUGUAGAGCAUCUAGUUUAUUUUAGUUCAACCUUUCUUUCUUUCCACACUUUGCAAGAUAAAGAACAUAAAUCUCCAAUAUAGAAGACAAAAAAAUUCAGAAUUAAGGAAGGCAGAGACCACCACCAUCCACACAAACCCAACAUAAAUGUACAAGUAGUAGUAUUGUCCCUGUAAACAGAGAGGAACAGCAAAGAAAACCAGUAUUCCACUUUAAUAAUAUAAAGAUUUAUCAGACUAAUAAAAAAAGGGAAAAGGGAACACACCGGACACAAAAAUUCCCCAAACCACACACUAUAUGAUAAGCACAAUAAGAAGAAUGACCACCACCAACACGACAAUUGCCAGCACCCACCAACACUGUUGAGAAACAGGUAUAGAUAAUGUAGUCAGGGCGAAAUCAAAGAUUUUAACAAAAUCAUGAAAAAAAAAAAACUGGAACAGAACAUUCAGAUUCUGAAAGAAACUAGUAGAACACUCGCAAACAUUUUUGCAUCUUUUCCACCUAGAACUUAUGAUAUACUUAAAGGCUUAUACUAUCAUGACACCUUUCUGAUGUAACCUUAUGAAAAUGCCUUUGGAUACCCAAAUUUGAAUUUGGGAGUUUAGUCCCUAUUUGACAACUCUUUUUAAAAACUAUUUUCUCUUCUUUAGAACAAAAAAACAGGAAAACACUUUUGACAAUAAAAAACUAUUUUCUAUUUUUUGUUCUCGAAAAUAGAAAACAUGGUGUUUUCAAAUAACAUCAUUUAGUUGUUUUCAAUUGUUUUUACUUGUUUUCUAAAGACUAUUUUAAAAAAUAAUUGUACAAACAUGAAGAAUGAUUAAAAAUAAAACACUUGAUAUAAAAAUUAUUCUUAAAAUAUAUUUAAAAACAUUAAAAAUAGGUUAAAAACAAAUUAGGUCCAAGGAGACUUACUUUACAAAACAUUAUAUAACUAUUCUCACAAACUGUUUUUGAGAACUGUUUUUGAAAACGGUUACCAAACAAGCCCUUAGUUUUUUAUUCCAAGUGAAAAAUGAAUAUUCUUACAAGCAAUAGUUUCUUAGGGCUGGAUAUGGGCCCCCAACAAAUCUACCAUUGUAGGAAGAAACAAUUUAAUCUCUUAGCAUUUUUUCAUGGAAUUGAUUUUUUUUUUUGAUAAGUAAAGAGAAAUAUAUUAAACAGAAAGAGGAGACACCAAACUAGCGCCCUCUAGGUAUACACGGAGUAUACAAAAGCAGCCCACAGACUCUAAACCAAGGAAGGGGAAAGAACAACCCCUACCCUUACUUAAAGCCUAGCCACUCAAAAAAGCUAAUAAGAGAACAAGAGCUCAAAACUAUAAACACCCUAACCCAAGACCACAAAUUACAUACAAAAGAAUGUUUCAGCCUUCGGAGUGAAAACACCUCAUCCCCAAAAGCCAACAAAUUUCUUUCAUUCCAUACUGACCAAAAUAUACAUAAGGGGGUCAUUUGCCACUCCUUUUUAUGGGUUUUCCCCACAAAUGCUCCAUGCCAUCCAAGGAGAGUUUCCUUAACUGAACCAGAGAGAACCUAAGCCACACCAAAGAGAGAAAAAAGAAGAUUCCACAAUGCCUGCGUCUUAACACAAUGAAGUAAAAGGUGAUCCACCGUUUCUGCUUCAGAAAGGCAAAGAAAACACCUAUUUGCUAAAGAGUACCCCCUCCUCUGGAGUUGCUCCAAAGUUAAGAUUUUGCCCCAGGAGGCUUCCCAAGGGAAGAAAGCUACCUUAGGAGGCACAUACGCUCUCCAAAUACUAUCAUAAGGGAACAAAGCAGAUUCUCCAGAAUAGAAUAAAGCGACUUGAAUGAGAAAUCUCCACUUCUAGAUGUUGUCCAAACCACCUUAUCCUCGUCCCCCCUUUGCACCCUAAAGGCUUGGAUUUUUAGCAUAAACCACUCCACCAUCUCAAUUUCCCAAUCAUUAAGCGCCCUUGAGAAAAACGGGGUCCAACCAUCCCCUACACCAUCUGGGUUCCACACAUCCAAUACCCAGGCAUCUUUAGCCAGGGAAAUGGCAAAUAAAGAAGGGAAGGACUCGCAAAGAGGCUCAUCUCCACACCACUUAUCCUUCCAGAAUCUCACUCUCCUACCAUUACCCACGCGGUAGGCUAAACUACUAUUCAUACCUAACCACUCCUUUCUAAUAGCUUUCCAAAGCCCUACUCCAUGCCUCCCACUUACGGCCCGCGUACACCAUCCCCCCUCCUCUACACCAUAUUUGUGAUUGAUCGCUUGCUUCCACAAAGCCUCACUUUCAAUGGCAAAGCGCCAAUUCCACUUACCCAAGAGAGCUUUAUUCAUCAAAGCUAAAUUUCUCACCCCCAAAGCACCUUUCUUUCUUUCCAGACAAACCAAGUUCCACCUAACAAGAUGUGGCCUCUGUUCAAGUGCACCUCCCCCCCACAGGAAGUCCCUCUGAAUCUUCUCCAACCUCAGCCUUACUUUUCUGGGCAAAAAGAAAAGAGACAUGAAGUAAAUCAGCAAACUAGAUAGAGUGCUCCGAAUUAGGGUGAGUCUUCCCCCUUUUGAUAUAUAUUGUCUCUUCCACAUAGCCAGCCUUUUCUGAAACCUCUCUUCAACACUAUCCCAUACCACCUUUGAUUUGAAGGGUGCCCCCAAAGGCAGACCCAAAUAACAGGAAGGCAAACCACCCACUUUACAGCCCAACUCCAAAGUCAAAUCCUUUAUAUCAUUCACCCUCCCCAUCGGAAUAAGCUCACUCUUCUCCAAGUUAACUCUCAACCCUGAGCAAGCCUCAAACCACAUGAGAAGCCAGCUUAGAUUCAUUAACUGAUCCUGAGACUCCUCACAAAACACCAAGGUGUCAUCCGCAAAAAGCAAGUGAGAUAUUAGAAUCCCUUCUCCACCCCUACCUCUUACUCUCCACCCUGAUAAAAAGCCCCCACUAAUGGCUCUUCUCAUUAAGCAACUAAACACCUCCAUAACUAUCACGAACAGAUAAGGGGAUAGGGGGUCUCCUUGUCUCAAACCCCUUGAACUUUGGAAAAAUCCGGAGGGAACCAUUUAUAAGAAUAGAGUAUCAUACAGUAGAGAUACACCACUCUAUCCACUUAAUCCAUCUCUCCCCAAAGCCCAUUUUUUUUAGCACCGCCAACAAGAACUUCCAACAGACGUGAUCAUAGGCUUUCUCUAUAUCCAACUUGCACAUCACACCCCCUUGAUUGCUUUUCAACCUGGAAUCCACAACCUCAUUUGCAAUCAAAACUGCAUCAAGAAUUUGUCUACCCUCCACAAAGGCAUUUUGGGGUUCCGAAAUCACUUUUCCCAUUACCUUCUUGAUUCUAUUUGUCAACACCUUGACCAAUAACUUGUAAAGGCUUCCCACAAGGCUAAUCGGUCUGAAAUCUUUCAAAUCUUCUGCACUUCCCUUCUUAGGGACUAAAACCAAGAAGGUGGCAUUUAGAGAUCUUACAAAUCUGCCCCUUUCAUGAAAUUCUCUAAAAAAGCCCAUAAUCUCACCUUUACCACAUCCCACCCAAAAAGCCAAAACGCCAUGGUAAAACCAUCUGGCCCCGGGGCUUCAAAUGGGGCUUCAUAUCCAAAUACAUUUGAAAUAUAUUUGAAGAAUCUUCAAGGCCUUCAAAUCUUUAAAGCCUCUUUGAAUUAUCAAAAUCUUCAAAGGUUCAAAAUAUGAAAAUACUAGGGAAAAAAAAAAAAAAAAAAACUCUUCUAUCCAAGCAAAGGCUGCAAAAAUUUAAAUACAUCCAAGAUCAAAUUGAUUAAGUCCUCAAGCAAAUGAAGGUUGCAAAGGCCCAAAAAGCUUCUCUUACCUGAGAUCAAGCUGCUCAAGCUCCUGACCAGCAUUGUUCAAGUCAAGUUUCAGGAGCUUAAGGAACCUUUUCUACAGUUGGACCUUAAUAAAGCCCAUCAAGGUUUGGAGCAGUUUGUCUUGCAGUAAAGAAGCUUUUGCAACCUUAACUAGGAAAAUGCUAACAAGGGCUUCGACAUAAAUGAUCUCAGAUAGAAGAAGCUUGGUACCAAUUUGAAUCUUAAAGAACUUGACAACCAAGGUGUGGAGCAGUUUGUUUUGCAUUCAAGAAGUUUUUGCAACCUCAACGAGGACAAUAGCAAUAAUGGCUUCAAUAGCUUGAUCUUAGAAAAAAGAAGCUUCACGGAUAUUUGAAUUUUGAAGAUCGUGACAACUCAAAAAAACUUUCAAGCCUUGAAAAUCAAGAAGACUUUGAAGAUCUUUGAAGCAUUUUUUGAAUCUUGAACAUGUUGACAACUAACAAAAGCUUUCAAACCUUGAAGAUUUUCUAGACUUUGAAGAAGAUCUUCAAGGCAUUCAAUAUUUUCAAAGACUUUGAAGAAGAUCUUUGAAGCAUUCUUUGAAUCUUGAAGAUCUUGACAACUAAAAAAAGCUUUCAAGCUUUCAAGCCUUGAUGAUCUUGAAGAUUUUGAAGAAGAUCUUCAAGCCAUUCAAUAUCUUUUAAGACCCAAAGAUGCUCUAAGAACCCGAAGCCUUUCACCUAAAGAAGCUUGGAGACCUUUCUCUUGAAGAAAUUUUGAAAACUUUCAAAGAAGCUUUUCUCUCUCUCCAACUUUGCAUCUUUUGAAUUGUGCUUUGAAGAAUUAGAGUUUUCCCCUACUUAUAAAGGUUAGAAUUUGGGGUAGGAAGACAAUAGCCCUUAAUUUUUUUGAGGGGAUAAUUUAAUAUUAUUUAAAUAAUUAAUAAUUUAAUUUAAUUAUCUAAGUGUCUAAAUUUAUUUUUUAUUUAAUCAAAAAAUAACUUAUGUUCCUAUCGUGUGGGCCCUUUGUAUACAUGUCAUUUUUUGUUCAUAGAAAUUCAUACCAUGUGACAACUUCUAAUUGGUUAGAAUUUGAUUAACUAUACACUUUAUUUUUAUUUUUUUUGUUGGUGCAUAUUAACUUGAUUUGUUCCUUUUUUUAUUAUUAUUAUUAUUUUAUUUUAUUUUUAUAGGCAAACAAGAGAAUAUAUUAAAAGUGCCAAGAGAGCUAGCACACGAGAGUCCACAAGACGUAUACAACGGGCACCAAGAGGUAAAGCAAAAAAGAGAGAAGACAAAAAACUACUCCCUCCCUCAAUAGAAAACUGGCCAAUCUAUAAAAUUCAAUAAAGACAGAGAGCCUUUUUUUUUUGAUAGGUAAAUAGAAGAAUAGAUCCAAUAAAGACAACGAGCCUUUAUCUAUCUACACCUUGAGCCACAAAUAGAGAUUCUUAAGGAAAGUGCUUUUGAGACUUUGAUCAGGCAUCUCCUCAAUAUUAACUUGAUUUGUACAUAUGGAAUAUCAUAAAAGUUAAAUUUCAAACACUACAUGAAGGAAUUGUCUGAUCACAAAAAUUUCUUAGCGUUGUGUACAAAUUUUCUAGUUAGCAAGCAAAAGAUGAAAUUGAAGUUCUGUGCCUAUAUCAAGUAUUCUAGUUGUAACCUCUCCCUU
rnacentral:lncRNA from 1 species